rnacentral:SRP_RNA from 2 species
GCCGGGCAUGGUGGCGCAUGCCUGUAAUCCCAGCUGCUCGGGAGGCUGAGGCAGGAGAAUCACUUGAACCUGGGAAGCAGAGGUUGCAGUGAGCCAAGAUCACACCAGCCUGGGUGACAGAGUGAGACUCUGUCUCAA